AUGAAGAAGAUAACAAGAAGAUGCAUUGGUAUUCUUGGUGGAAGCUAUGUUUCCCAGAGUGAAGGUGGGACGAGAUUUCGAGAUUUAUAUUCGUUUAAUCUUGCUCUCUUGGCGAAACAAUGCUAGAGAUUGAUAACGAACCUGGACUCGCUUUGUGCUAGGAUUUUAAAGGCAAAGUAUUUCCCAAAUUGUGACAUUCUCCUAGCAGGGCCGAAAAAGGGAUCUUCCUUCACUUGGCAGAGUAUCAUUGUGGGGUUAGCUUGCUUUAAACGUGGAUACAUAUGGAGAAUAGGAAUGGGAGAAAAUGUUGACAUAUGGGCUGACCCGUAGAUACCUUCAAGCCCCAAAAGGAUGAUUAUUACUCUGCGAAAUCAGUCUAUUUUAACAAAGGUUUCUGAACUAGUUAAUCCUAUUACCCAAACGCGGGAUGAGCAAUUGCUUCAAGACAAUUUUAACCCCAUGGAUGUUCGAAGGAUCUUGCAAAUACCCUUACACCUUCAAGAAUUUGAUGAUUUUGCGCCUGGCAUCUGA
rnacentral:rRNA from 1 species